UGUUGGAGAAGCAGGGCACGUGCAAACCAACAAACA
rnacentral:sRNA from 1 species